rnacentral:rRNA from 1 species
GGAUUGCCUCAGUAACGGCGAGUGAAGCGGCAAGAGCUCAAAUUUGAAAUCUGACCUUUCAGGUCCGAGUUGUAAUUUGUAGAGGAUGCUUCGGGUAAGAUCCAGGCCUAAGUUCCUUGGAACAGGACGUCAUAGAGGGUGAGAAUCCCGUACGUGGCUCAUGAUCGCACCCAUGUGAAACUCCUUCGACGAGUCGAGUUGUUUGGGAAUGCAGCUCAAAAUGGGUGGUAAAUUUCAUCUAAAGCUAAAUAUUGGCCAGAGACCGAUAGCGCACAAGUAGAGUGAUCGAAAGAUGAAAAGCACUUUGAAAAGAGAGUUAAAAAGCAUGUGAAAUUGUUGAAAGGGAAGCGCUUGCAGCCAGACUUGUUUAUAGGGUUCAGCCGUCGUUCUCGUCGGUGUAUUUCCCUAUCAUCAGGCCAGCAUCAGUUUGGGUGGAAGGUCAAAGGCCUUGGGAAUGUACCAUCCUCCGGGAUGACUUAUAGCCCUCGGUGUAAUGCUUCCUACCUAGACUGAGGCACGCGUUCGCUAGGAUGCUGGCGCAAUGGCUGUAAGCGACCCGUCUUGAAACACGGACCAAGGAGUCUAACAUCUAUGCGAGUAUUUGGGUGUCAAACCCAUAUGCGUAAUGAAAGUGAACGGAGGUGGGAACCUUUUAGGCGCACCAUCGACCGAUCCAGAUGUCUUCGGAUGGAUUUGAGUAAGAGCAUAGCUGUUGGGACCCGAAAGAUGGUGAACUAUGCCUGAAUAGGGUGAAGCCAGAGGAAACUCUGGUGGAGGCUCGCAGCGGUUCUGACGUGCAAAUCGAUCGUCAAAUUUGGGUAUAGGGGCGAAAGUAGUUUUUCGUCGAUAUUUAACAGUUAGUCCAUAGUGGCGAGGCUUGUGAUCUGCGGGGAUUAACUAUUUGUUAUGCCCGCACCUAUUGUAAUAGGUCACAGAUCAAGUACAGGUCGGCAUCGAUUUCAGGUGUUCUAGAUAUGAUCGGUGGUGAAGUUUAGGCUUCUAUCGUUAAAUGAGACUAAUCGAACCAUCUAACCGAGUUAUUGGAUGGUAUCUAGUCCUCGACGAAUGUCGGGGGCAACGUCAAGAUUCUAUGGGAAGGCUCAAGUCCAACCCGUACCCUGGAAUUUCGGGGCUACAGACUAGAUAUUGGCGGUCAUGAUUAUGAUUAAGAUAUAGCCGGAAUGCCCUUGUAUCAAGGGUCUGUUUUUGGGUAGCUGGUUUCUGUCGAAGUUUCCCUCAGGAUAGCAGUAACGUUUUCAGUUUUAUGAGGUAAAGCGAAUGAUUAGAGGCCUUGGGGUUGAAACAACCUUAACCUAUUCUCA